rnacentral:rRNA from 1 species
AUUGAACGCUGGCGGCAUGCUUUACAUAUGCAAGUCGGACGGCAGCACAGAGAAGCUUGCUUCUUGGGUGGCGAGUGGCGAACGGGUGAGUAAUAUAUCGGAACGUACCGAGUAAUGGGGGAUAACUAAUCGAAAGAUUAGCUAAUACCGCAUAUUCUCUGAGGAGGAAAGCAGGGGACCUUCGGGCCUUGCGUUAUUCGAGCGGCCGAUAUCUGAUUAGCUAGUUGGUGGGGUAAAGGCCUACCAAGGCGACGAUCAGUAGCGGGUCUGAGAGGAUGAUCCGCCACACUGGGACUGAGACACGGCCCAGACUCCUACGGGAGGCAGCAGUGGGGAAUUUUGGACAAUGGGCGCAAGCCUGAUCCAGCCAUGCCGCGUGUCUGAAGAAGGCCUUCGGGUUGUAAAGGACUUUUGUCAGGGAAGAAAAGGCUGUUGCUAAUAUCGACAGCUGAUGACGGUACCUGAAGAAUAAGCACCGGCUAACUACGUG